UAGGGAAUCUUCGGCAAUGGACGAAAGUCUGACCGAGCAACGCCGCGCGAGUGAAGAAGGUUUUCGGAUCGUAAAACUCUGUUGUUAGAGAAGAACAAGGACGUUAGUAACUGAACGUCCCCUGACGGUAUCUAACCAGAAAGCCACGGCUAACUACGUGCCAGCAGCCGCGGUAAUACGUAGGUGGCAAGCGUUUUCCGGAUUUAUUGGGCGUAAAGCGAGCGCAGGCGGUUUCUUAAGUCUGAUGUGAAAGCCCCCGGCACAACCGGGGAGGGUCAUUGGAAACUGGGGGACUUGAGUGCAGAAGAGGAGAGUGGAAUUCCGUGUGUAGCGGUGAAAUGCGUAGAUAUAUGGAGGAACACCAGUGGAGAAGGCGGCUCUCUGGUCUGUAACUGACGCUGAGGCUCGAAAGCGUGGGGAGCAAACAGG
rnacentral:rRNA from 1 species